AUAAGUAAUACAGUGAUAUGAGAUCAGAUUGUGUGAUUUAGAUAAUAUAUAUUGUAAA
rnacentral:guide_RNA from 1 species